GUUGUAUGGUUAAGUGACUAAGCGUACACGGUGGAUGCCUUGGCAGUCAGAGGCGAUGAAAGACGUAGUAACUUGCGAUAAGCCCAGAUUAGGUAGUAACAACCAUUUGAGUCUGGGAUUUCUGAAUGGGGAAACCCACGUGCAUAAGCACGUAUCCUUACCUGAAUACAUAGGGUAAGGAGGCGAACCGGGGGAACUGAAACAUCUAAGUACCCCGAGGAAAAGAAAUCAACCGAGAUUCCGAAAGUAGCGGCGAGCGAAAUUGGACUAGCCCUUAAGCUUUACACGCGUUAGACGAACGGUCUGGAAAGUCCGACGAUACAGGGUGAUAGUCCCGUAGUUGACGACGUGUGUUCAGUGAAAUCGAGUAGGGCGGGACACGUGAUAUCCUGUCUGAAUAUGGGGGGACCAUCCUCCAAGGCUAAAUACUACUGACUGACCGAUAGUGAACCAGUACCGUGAGGGAAAGGCGAAAAGAACCCCUGUGAGGGGAGUGAAAUAGAACCUGAAACCGUGUACGUACAAGCAGUAGGAGCAGGCUUUGUCCUGUGACUGCGUACCUUUUGUAUAAUGGGUCAGCGACUUAUAUUCAGUGGCAAGGUUAACCAUCUAGGGGAGCCGUAGGGAAACCGAGUCUUAACUGGGCGUUCAGUCUCUGGAUAUAGACCCGAAACCAGGUGAUCUAGCCAUGGGCAGGUUGAAGGUUGAGUAACAUCAACUGGAGGACCGAACCGACUAAUGUUGAAAAAUUAGCGGAUGACUUGUGGCUAGGGGUGAAAGGCCAAUCAAACCUGGAGAUAGCUGGUUCUCCCCGAAAGCUAUUUAGGUAGCGCCUCGGACGAAUACUACUGGGGGUAGAGCACUGUUAAGGCUAGGGGGUCAUCCCGACUUACCAACCCUUUGCAAACUCCGAAUACCAGUAAGUACUAUCCGGGAGACACACGGCGGGUGCUAACGUCCGUCGUGGAGAGGGAAACAACCCAGACCGCCAGCUAAGGUCCCAAAUUACUACUAAGUGGGAAACGAUGUGGGAAGGCUCAGACAGCCAGGAUGUUGGCUUAGAAGCAGCCAUCAUUUAAAGAAAGCGUAAUAGCUCACUGGUCGAGUCGGCCUGCGCGGAAGAUGUAACGGGGCUAAGUAGUAAACCGAAGCUGCGGCAAUGUGCUUUUGCACAUUGGGUAGGGGAGCGUUCUGUAAGCGGUUGAAGGUGUGUGGUAACGCAUGCUGGACGUAUCAGAAGUGCGAAUGCUGACAUGAGUAACGAUAAAGGGGGUGAAAAACCUCCUCGCCGGAAGACCAAGGGUUCCUGUCCAACGUUAAUCGGGGCAGGGUAAGUCGACCCCUAAGGCGAGGCCGAAAGGCGUAGUCGAUGGGAAACGGGUUAAUAUUCCCGUACUUCUUACAAUUGCGAUGGGGGGACGGAGAAGGCUAGGUGGGCCUGGCGACGGUUGUCCAGGUUCAAGUGCGUAGGCUUAAGAGUUAGGUAAAUCCGGCUCUUUUUAAGGCUGAGACACGACGUCGAGCACCUACGGGUGUGAAGUCAUUGAUGCCAUGCUUCCAGGAAAAGCCUCUAAGCUUCAGAUUGUAAGGAAUCGUACCCCAAACCGACACAGGUGGUCGGGUAGAGAAUACCAAGGCGCUUGAGAGAACUCGGGUGAAGGAACUAGGCAAAAUGGUACCGUAACUUCGGGAGAAGGUACGCUCUUGAUGGUGAAGUCCCUUGCGGAUGGAGCUGACGAGAGUCGCAGAUACCAGGUGGCUGCAACUGUUUAUUAAAAACACAGCACUGUGCAAAAUCGUAAGAUGACGUAUACGGUGUGACGCCUGCCCGGUGCCGGAAGGUUAAUUGAUGGGGUUAGACUUCGGUCGAAGCUCUUGAUCGAAGCCCCGGUAAACGGCGGCCGUAACUAUAACGGUCCUAAGGUAGCGAAAUUCCUUGUCGGGUAAGUUCCGACCUGCACGAAUGGCGUAAUGAUGGCCACGCUGUCUCCACCCGAGACUCAGUGAAAUUGAAAUCGCUGUGAAGAUGCAGUGUACCCGCGGCUAGACGGAAAGACCCCGUGAACCUUUACUACAGCUUGGCACUGAACAUUGACCCUACAUGUGUAGGAUAGGUGGGAGGCUUUGAAGCAGGUACGCCAGUAUCUGUGGAGCCGUCCUUGAAAUACCACCCUUGUAGUGUUGAUGUUCUAACGUU
rnacentral:rRNA from 1 species